AUUGAACGCUGGCGGCAGGCUUAACACAUGCAAGUCGAGCGAGCGGCGGACGGGUGAGUACUGUCUGGGAACCUGCCUGAUGGAGGGGGAUAACUACUGGAAACGGUAGCUAAUACCGCAUACCAUCAGAUGUGCCCAGAUGGGAUUAGCUAGUAGGUUGGGUAAUAGCUCACCUAGGCGACGAUCCCUAGCUGGUCUGAGAGGAUGACCAGCCACACUGGAAGUGAGACAGGGUCGAGACGUCUACGGGAGGCAGCAGUGGGGAAUAUUGCGCAAUGGGCGCAAGCCUGAUGCAGCCAUGCCGCGUGUGUGAAGAAGGCGUUCGGGUUGUAAAGCACUGUCAGCGAGGAGGCGUUACUCGCAGAAGAAGCACCGGCUAACUCCGUGCCAGCAGCCGCGGUAAUUC
rnacentral:rRNA from 1 species